rnacentral:rRNA from 1 species
ACGCUGGCGGCGUGCCUAAUACAUGCAAGUCGAGCGAACAGAUAAGGAGCUUGCUCCUUUGACGUUAGCGGCGGACGGGUGAGUAACACGUGGAUAACCUACCUAUAAGACUGGGAUAACUUCGGGAAACCGGAGCUAAUACCGGAUAACAUAUUGAACCGCAUGGUUCAAUAGUGAAAGGCGGCUUUGCUGUCACUUAUAGAUGGAUCCGCGCCGUAUUAGCUAGUUGGUAAGGUAACGGCUUACCAAGGCAACGAUACGUAGCCGACCUGAGAGGGUGAUCGGCCACACUGGAACUGAGACACGGUCCAGACUCCUACGGGAGGCAGCAGUAGGGAAUCUUCCGCAAUGGGCGAAAGCCUGACGGAGCAACGCCGCGUGAGUGAUGAAGGUCUUCGGAUCGUAAAACUCUGUUAUCAGGGAAGAACAAAUGUGUAAGUAACUGUGCACAUCUUGACGGUACCUGAUCAGAAAGCCACGGCUAACUACGUGCCAGCAGCCGCGGUAAUACGUAGGUGGCAAGCGUUAUCCGGAAUUAUUGGGCGUAAAGCGCGCGUAGGCGGUUUUUUAAGUCUGAUGUGAAAGCCCACGGCUCAACCGUGGAGGGUCAUUGGAAACUGGAAAACUUGAGUGCAGAAGAGGAAAGUGGAAUUCCAUGUGUAGCGGUGAAAUGCGCAGAGAUAUGGAGGAACACCAGUGGCGAAGGCGACUUUCUGGUCUGUAACUGACGCUGAUGUGCGAAAGCGUGGGGAUCAAACAGGAUUAGAUACCCUGGUAGUCCACGCCGUAAACGAUGAGUGCUAAGUGUUAGGGGGUUUCCGCCCCUUAGUGCUGCAGCUAACGCAUUAAGCACUCCGCCUGGGGAGUACGACCGCAAGGU